UGGUUGAACUUCUGGGAUCAA
rnacentral:misc_RNA from 1 species